CCAAUCCUUGCAUGAGGGUUGGUGGAAAGUUUUUCGAUCGGGGAUGGGCUCGCGGCCUAUCAGCUUGUUGGUGGGGUAAUGGCCUACCAAGGCGACGACGGGUAGCCGGCCUGAGAGGGCGACCGGCCACACUGGGACUGAGACACGGCCCAGACUCCUACGGGAGGCAGCAGUGGGGAAUAUUGCACAAUGGGGGAAACCCUGAUGCAGCGACGCAGCGUGCGGGAUGACGGCCUUCGGGUUGUAAACCGCUUUCAGCAGGGAAGAAGCGAAAGUGACGGUACCUGCAGAAGAAGUACCGGCUAACUACGUGCCAGCAGCCGCGGUAAUACGUAGGGUACGAGCGUUGUCCGGAAUUAUUGGGCGUAAAGAGCUCGUAGGUGGUUGGUCACGUCUGCUGUGGAAACGCAACGCUUAACGUUGCGCGUGCAGUGGGUACGGGCUGACUAGAGUGCAGUAGGGGAGUCUGGAAUUCCUGGUGUAGCGGUGAAAUGCGCAGAUAUCAGGAGGAACACCGGUGGCGAAGGCGGGACUCUGGGCUGUAACUGACACUGAGGAGCGAAAGCAUGGGGAGCGAACAGGAUUAGAUACCCUGGUAGUCCAUGCCGUAAACGUUGGGCACUAGGUGUGGGGGACAUUCCACGUUCUCCGCGCCGUAGCUAACGCAUUAAGUGCCCCGCCUGGGGAGUACGGUCGCAAGGCUAAAACUCAAAGGAAUUGACGGGGGGCCCGCACAAGCGGCGGGAGCAUGCGGAUUAAUUUCGAUGCAACGCGAAGAACCUUUACCAAGGGCUUGACAUACACUGGACCGUUCUGGAAACAGUUCUUCUCUUUGGAGCUGGUGUACAGGUGGUGCAUGGUUGUCGUCAGCUCGUGUCGUGAGAUGUUGGGUUAAGUCCCGCAACGAGCGCAACCCUCGUUCUAUGUUGCCAGCACGUGAUGGUGGGAACUCAUAGGAGACUGCCGGGGUCAACUCGGAGGAAGGUGGGGAUGACGUCAAAUCAUCAUGCCCUUUAUGUCUUGGGCUUCACGCAUGCUACAAUGGCUGGUACAGAGAGAGGCGAACCCGUGAGGGUAAGCGAAUCCCUUAAAGCCAGUCUCAGUUCGGAUCGUAGUCUGCAAUUCGACUACGUGAAGUCGGAGUCGCUAGUAAUCGCAGAUCAGCAACGCUGCGGUGAAUACGUUCCCGGGCCUUGUACACACCGCCCGUCAAG
rnacentral:rRNA from 1 species